rnacentral:rRNA from 1 species
CUGGUUGAUCCUGCCAGUAGUCAUAUGCUUGUCUUAAAGACUAAGCCAUGCUUGUCUAAGUAUAAGUAUUAUACAGCGAAACUGCGAAUGGCUCAUUAAAACAGUUAUAGUUUAUUUGAUAAGUAAACCUACAUGGAUAACCGUAGUAAUUCUAGAGCUAAUACAUGCCUAAAGCCCAACUUCUGGAAGGGUGGUAUUUAUUAGAUAUCAAACCAUUACCUUCGGGUUUUGUGAUGAUUCAUAAUAACUGAACGAAUCGCAUUCUUUGCGAUGAAUCAUUCAAGUUUCUGCCCUAUCAGCUUUCGAUGGUAGUAUAUAGGACUACCAUGGCAGUCACGGGUAACGGGGAAUUAGGGUUCGAUUCCGGAGAGGGAGCCUGAGAAAUGGCUACCACAUCUAAGGAAGGCAGCAGGCGCGUAAAUUACCCAAUCCUGAUUCAGGGAGGUAGUGACAAGAAAUAACAACCCAGGCUCCUUACGGGGCUAUGGGAUUGCAAUGAGAACAAUUUAAAUCACUUAACGAGGAACAAUUGGAGGGCAAGUCUGGU